rnacentral:pre_miRNA from 2 species
GCCAUACUCUCCGUGUUCACUGUGUAUGUCUUGAUGUUUCCUUUGAUUAUCAUAAGGCACGCGGUGAAUGCCAAGAGUUGUGGU